GCCGCCCGCGCAAUGCCGCGCAGCUCUUUGCCUCCACGCGUCGCCUGGCGCUGACUCGUCCGCCGGCCGAGGCGCAGCCGUAACCGAACCUCGAGCCCUCGUGUUUCCCUCUAGGUUCUGGUUACGGCGCGGGUGCAUUUCACAACGUGCAGUUCGUGUGUCCGGUUCCACCACCCGCCAUGUUACUAAAUCGUGCAGCAUAAGUUUGUUCAGAGAUCAGAUCGCCGGAUGCGGCGAUUUCUGCGCAGGUGAGUACUGGAGUGAAACAUCGGAAGAAUGGUUUACGUCAUCACCAACAGAAGCAACCUUCAUUGAAUCAUCAUCACCAUUAUCAUUCGUUCCAUCAUAAGCUGCUGCUCAGGUUAUAAAAGUCCGAGGAACAAACAAGUCCGAGGAGAGAAGUCAAAAGAAAGAAGUCAGAAGAAAGAAAAAGGAAGAAAAGAGAGGUUAGAAGAAAGAAGGAAGAGAGACAAGUUAGAAGAAAGACAGGUUAUUUAUCUUUGGUUAUCUAGCUGUAUGAGUACUGAGACAUCAUAAAGCUAGGUUACCGGAGUUAAGGGCCGUCUGUGAUCUGCGAUACGAAGAUGCAAGAUAGUCAAGAACUGGAAAAGUUAUGUUUGAAACG